rnacentral:rRNA from 1 species
AUUGAACGCUGGCGGCAUGCUUUACACAUGCAAGUCGAACGGCAGCACGGGUGCUUGCACCUGGUGGCGAGUGGCGAACGGGUGAGUAAUGCAUCGGAACGUGCCCAUGAGUGGGGGAUAGCCCGGCGAAAGCCGGAUUAAUACCGCAUACGCCCUUAGGGGGAAAGCGGGGGAUCUUCGGACCUCGCGCUAUUGGAGCGGCCGAUGUCGAAUUAGCUAGUAGGUGAGGUAAAGGCUCACCUAGGCGACGAUCCGUAGCUGGUCUGAGAGGAUGAUCAGCCACACUGGGACUGAGACACGGCCCAGACUCCUACGGGAGGCAGCAGUGGGGAAUUUUGGACAAUGGGCGCAAGCCUGAUCCAGCCAUGCCGCGUGAGUGAAGAAGGCCUCGGUUGUAAG